CAUGUCUUUUUGAAAAUAAUUUAAAGUCUAAUCUGCUCAAUGAAUUUUAAAUAGCCGCAGUAUUUUGACUGUGCAAAGGUAGCAUAAUAAUUAGUUUCUUAAUUAGAAACUGGAAUGAAUGAUUGGACAAGAAAAUUACUGUCUCUUUUUUAAUUUUUUUUGAAUUUUAUCUUUAAGUGAAAAAGCUUAAAUUUUUAUAAAAGACGAGAAGACCCUAUAGAGUUUAAUAUAUUAAUAAAAUUAUUUUUUAGAAAAGUUAUUUUUGUUGAUUUAUUUUAUUGGGGUGAUUAGAAGAUUAAAAAAAUUCUUUAAAAAAUAAAUUGAAAAUUUUCAAAUUUUGAAUCUGUAAUUUACAAAAUUAAAAUAAAUUACCUUAGGGAUAACAGCGUAAUUUUUCUUGAAAGUUCAUAUUUAAAGGAAAGUUUGCGACCUCGAUGUUGGAUUAAAAUUAAUUUUUGGUGCAGUAACUGAAAAAUUAGGUCUGUUCGACCUUUAAAAUUUUACAUGAUCUGAGUUUAAACCGGUGUGAGCCAGGUUGGAUUCUAUCUUUAGAAUUAUAAUAUAUUUUAGUACGAGAGGACCAAAUAUAUAUUAAAUUAAUUG
rnacentral:rRNA from 1 species